AAGAGCCGUGUAAAGGGAGACCUUUACGCACGGUUCUGUGAGAAUCUCGGGCUGAAAUGCCCGGGUUUACUUGAC
rfam:Cytophagaceae bacterium SCN 52-12 ABS46_C0139, whole genome shotgun sequence.